GCCCGGGUGGCGAAAUAGGUAGACGCAAGGGACUUAAAAUCCCUCGAUCGUGAGAUCAUGCCGGUUCGAUUCCGGCCUCGGGCACCA
rnacentral:tRNA from 1 species